ensembl:lncRNA
GUCAUCUACUAACCCUUCAAAUCAUAGGGGACACUUAAUCUACUAACCCUUCAAAUCAUAGGGGACACUUCAUCUACUAACCCUUCAAAUCACAGGGGACACGUCAUCUACUAACCCUUCAAAUCAUAGGGGACACGUCAUCUACUAACCCUUCAAAUCAUAGGGGACACGUCAUCUACUAACCCUUCAAAUCAUAGGGGACACUUCAUCUACAACCCUUCAAGUCAUAGGGGACACGUCAUCUACUAACCCUUCAAAUCAUAGGGGACACGUCAUCUACUAACCCUUCAAAUCACAAAUUGUAGAUGGACUGAGGUGGAUGAUAGAUGGACUGAGGUGGAUGAUAGAGGGACUGAGGAGGAUGAUAGAUGGACUGAGGUGGAUGAUAGAUGGGCAAAGGUGGAUGAUAGAUGGACUGAGGUGGAUGAUAGAGGGACUGAGAUGGAUGAUAGAUGGAUGAUAGAUGGACUGAGGUGGAUGAUAGAGGGACUGAGAUGGAUGAUAGAUGGAUGAUAGAUGGACUGAGGUGGACGAUAGAUGGACUGAGGAGGAUGAUAGAUGGACUGAGGUGGAUGAUAGAGGGACUGAGAUGGAUGAUAGAUGGAUGAUAGAUGGACUGAGGUGGAUGAUAGAUGGAUGAUAGAUGGACUGAGGUGGAUGAUAGAUGGAUGAUAGAGGGACUGAGGAGGAUGAUAGAUGGACUGAGGUGGAUGAUAGAUGGACUGAGGUGGAUGAUAGAUGGACUGAGGUGGAUGAUAGAUGGACUGAGGUGGAUGAUAGAUGGAUGAUUGAUGGACUGAGGUGGAUGAAUAAAUAAAAAUGAAUAAAUAAAAAUGAGAAUCAAAUUGUCAACGGGAAAACAGUAACAACAAUAACCAAGUGUCAAAAUAACCAACAACAACAAUAAGCAUACAGUAGAGUACAUGUGCAGGUUGAUCGGUCUGUCAGACACCGUCCCUCAACUUAUGGCAGGCAGCAAUGUAGAGCGCUGCCAACCCACAGCUCUCUGCGUCCUCCCC